GACGAACGCUGGCGGCGUGCCUAAUACAUGCAAGUCGAACGAACAGAUCAGGGCUUGGCGCCGCGGACGAUAGCGGCGGGGGGGUGAGUAACAUGUGGAUAACCUACCUAUAAGACUGGGAUGACCUCGGAAAACCGUAUCUAAGACCGUAUGAUAUAGUGAACCGCGGGGUUCAAUAGUGAAAUUCGGUUGUUCGGUCAGUUAUAGCUGGCUAAGGGCGGUAUUGGCUGGUUGGGAAGGUAACGGGUUACCAAGGCAAGGAGGCGUAGCCGACCUCAGAGGGUGAUCGCCCACCCGGGAAGUGAGCCAGGGUCACUACUCCUACGGGAGGCCGCAGUCGGGAAUCUUACGCAAUGGGGGAAGGCAUUACGGAGCAAGGCAGAGUGAGUGAUGAAGGUGUUCGGAUCGUAAAACUCUGUUAUUGGGGAAGAACAAAUGUGUGAGUAACUGUGCCGAUAUUGACGGUACCUACAGAGAAAGCCCCGGCUAACUACGUG
rnacentral:rRNA from 1 species